rnacentral:rRNA from 1 species
AGUCCACAUCGACGGGGAGGUUUGGCACCUCGAUGUCGGCUCAUCACAUCCUGGGGCUGUAGUAGGUCCCAAGGGUUGGGCUGUUCGCCCAUUAAAGUGGUACGCGAGCUGGGUUCAGAACGUCGUGAGACAGUUCGGUCCCUAUCCGUCGCAGGCGGAGGAAAUUUGAGAAGACCUGUCCUUAGUACGAGAGGACCGGGAUGGACGUACCUCUGGUGUACCAGUUGUCCUGCCAAGGGCAUGGCUGGGUAGCUAUGUACGGAAUGGAUAAGCGCUGAAAGCAUC